rnacentral:rRNA from 1 species
UACGGGGGGGGCAAGCGUUGUUCGGAAUUACUGGGCGUAAAGGGCUUGUAGGUGGCCAACUAAGUCAGACGUGAAAUCCCACGGCUUAACCGGGGAACUGCGUCUGAUACUGGAUGGCUUGAGUGUGGGAGAGGGAUGCGGAAUUCCAGGUGUAGCGGUGAAAUGCGUAGAUAUCGGGAGGAACACCUGUGGCGAAAGCGGCGCACUGGACCAUAACUGACGCUGAUGCGCGAAAGCUAGGGGAGCAAACAGG